rnacentral:ncRNA from 1 species
GGGUCCAGUGGCCGGAAGAGCACCGCACGUCGCGCGGUGUCCGGUGCGCCCCCGGCGGCCCAUGAAAAUCCGGAGGACCGAGUACCGUCCCCGCCCGGUCGUACUCAUAACCGCAUCAGGUCUCCAAGGUGAACAGCCUCUGGCCAAUGGAACAAUGUAGGCAAGGGAAGUCGGCAAAACGGAUCCGUAACUUCGGGAAAAGGAUUGGCUCUGAGGACUGGGC